AAAUUCCCAAAAAAAAAUUCGUGCAAAGCAAAAUGCCUGGAAAAAAAAUUCGUGCAGCCAUUACGUCAGAGAAAAAAAAUUCGUGCAAGCAAACAGCGAAGUACAAAUAGUCUUGAAAAAAAAUUCGUGCAGAGGUUAAAUGCAUUAAAAAAAAUUCCUGCAGAGACACGAGACUGAAAAAAAAAUUCGUGCCGCAAAAAUUUUAUACCCCCCCCCCUCCCGGGAUUUCUAAUGGUCCGCCCCUAAUAUA